rnacentral:lncRNA from 1 species
CCCCUACGUGAAAAGCACAAUAGCGAUACAAUCAAAGAUCAUUAAACUUUGUGAAAACUAUAAGUAUUGACGAGACAUUCGUAACUAUGAAAAGCAUGAUACUCUUGCCAAGAAUUUACUUAACGUGAUUGUGACUAGCAACCUUUACUACUUGUGAAAAUAAGUUCAUAACGAUUAGGUGAAAUUCACUUAUAUUCUAGCAUCAAAUUCAUGCAUGUAAAUUAAGCGUGCACUCUUAACCAACAUACACAAAUCAGUUUUUAUACGAACGGAUAAGUAAAUUGAAAUCACAACUUAUGAAAUCACAA